rnacentral:rRNA from 1 species
UAUCUCUGUAGAGUCUGCAUAUCAAUAAGCGGAGGAAAAGAAACUAACAAGGAUUCCCCUAGUAACGGCUAGUGAAGCGGGAAGAGCUCAAAUUUGAAAUCUUCAAGGUUUGACCUUGACGAAUUGUAGUUUAAAGAAGUGUUUUCGGUUAGAGGAGUAGUAAAAGUUCUUUGGAAUAGGACAUCAUAGAGGGUGAGAAUCCCGUAUUUGACUAUUCUUUCUAGCUUUGUGAUACACUUUCAAAGAGUCGGAUUGUUUGGGAAUGCAGUCCAAAAUGGGUGGUAAAUUUCAUCUAAAGCUAAAUAUUGGCGAGAGACCGAUAGCGAACAAGUACCGUGAGGGAAAGAUGAAAAGAACUUUGAAAAGAGAGUUAAACAGUACGUGAAAUUGUCAAAAGGGAAGCGUUUGACACCAGUGUUGUUUUUCCGAAAAUCAAUUAAAAAUUGAUUCAUGCCAGGUUGUAUUGACCUUAUCAGCUUGCAAUUUGGUUUUGGGUCUCUUUUUGAUGCACUUUUCGGUUAACAAGUCAACAUCAAUUUCCUUUGCUGUAAAAAGGUAAGAGGAAGGUGGCUUCAAUUUCGGUUGAAGUGUUUAUAGCCUUUUAUCUCUGCAGUCGGGGAGAUUGAGGUCUGCAGCGUAGAUCCUUCGGGGCUAGAUACAUUUAUGCUAAGUUAUAGCUUUUCAUAGACAACUUGUUGACUAUGUUUAGUCAUGUAGCUUACUCGUAAGUGCUAUUUUACCUACGCUUAGGAUGUUGAGCGCAUGUCUCUCUC